UACGAAGGGGGCUAGCGUUGUUCGGAAUCACUGGGCGUAAAGCGCACGUAGGCGGACUUUCAAGUCAGGGGUGAAAUCCCGGGGCUCAACCUCGGAAUUGCCUUUGAUACUGUAGGUCUCGAGUCCGGAAGAGGUGGGUGGAAUUCCUAGUGUAGAGGUGAAAUUCGUAGAUAUUAGGAAGAGCACCGGUGGCGAAGGCGGCCCACUGGUCCGGUACUGACGCUGAGGUGCGAAAGCGUGGGGAGCAAACAGG
rnacentral:rRNA from 1 species